UCGGGUAUGGUGUAGCGGUAACAUCGCUGACUCUCAACAGAGAUUCAUAUGGAUCUAGAAGUCCUCAGCAGCCCGGGGUUCGACUCCCCGUAUCCGAG
rnacentral:tRNA from 1 species